rnacentral:RNase_P_RNA from 1 species
AAUUCGGGUGACCUUAUCGCUCCUUCUUUAUUUUAUAAAUUCUUUAUUUAAUAAAAAGGGAGAGGAAAGUCCGGGCAACGCAGGGCGCCACACCAUCAGAAACGAUGGGAUUGCCUAGGCAAGCCAGACAGUGCCACAGAAAAUAUACCGCCUGCUAUUUCUACGAAAUUGGCAGGUAAGGGUGAAAAGGCGGGGUAAGAGCCCACCGCUCCAAGGGUAACCAAGGAGGCACGGUAAACCUUGUGGGUUGCAAGACCAAAUAAACUGGUGUUUUAGGGCUGCUCGUCCAAGCCAGAGGGUAGGUUGCUAACUCCCUAAUGUUUUCAUUGGGGAAGAUAAAUGAUAGGGGCCUGAAAAGGAACAGAACCCGGCUUAUGAUCCCGAAUUUCUU